rnacentral:rRNA from 1 species
CCUCAGUAGCGGCGAGCGAACGGGGAUCAGCCCAUUAAGUUAUGUGUGUUUUAGUGGAACGCUCUGGGAAGUGCGAACGUAGAGGGGGAUAUUCCCGUACACGAAAGGGCACACAUAAUGAUGACGAGUAGGGCGAGGCACGUGAAACCUUGUCUGAAUAUGGGGGGACCAUCCUCCAAGGCUAAAUACUCCUGACUGACCGAUAGUGAACCAG